GAGAACUGUAACUUUCAGAUGAUGUUUCUCCACAUGUAUCAUGACCAGAUCCAGUGUCCAAAUUCAGGUCUUUUGCUGUCCCUGUACGGAUGUGCUGUGAUGCUGCAACUCUAACUCCAUUUGUCCUGUUAUUCAACCGACAGUCAGCCUUCUUUGCUUUCUCCUUUUCCAGCUGUGGCUUUCCCUUCUUCUUGCUUACCGCAGAUAAGCUUCGUUUUUCCCCUGUAUGCUGGUCAAGUAUGUUUGUACAGUGCUCUGGGUGCUGCUGGACAAUACAGGUUUUCCUUC
rnacentral:lncRNA from 1 species